GCUGAGUGUAGUGGCGCAUACCUGUAAUCCCAGCUACUUGGGAGGCUGAGGCAGGAGAAUCGCUUGAACCCAGGAGAUGGAGGUUGCAGUGAGCCGAGAUUGUGCCACUGCACUCCAGCCUGGGUGACAGAGUGAGACCCUGUCUCAA
rnacentral:SRP_RNA from 1 species